GGGCAGGCUGAAUGAAGACACUAGGCUGACAAUGUGGACAUCUCAAGACAAUGGCUGACAGACUUGUCUGAAGACUGGAAAUGUUUCUCUAUCUUGGAGAGGAAAGAAGAACCCUCCAACUAUACUAAACUCUAAGGAAGUUUAUUCAGACGCUGGGAGAGAAACAUCAUCCCCUGAAACUGCCCUAAGCAAGAAGCAGGCCAAGAAAGAAAAGGAGAGGCUGAUUAAAGAGCUGCAGCUCAUUACCGAGGAGAGAAAUGACCUGAGAGAUCGCCUGAGGUUUCUGAGAGAGAGAUCCAUGAACAACAGGCCACACUUCAGGCCAAAUCCAUAUUAUGAAGAUCUGGAGAGAAUGGAGGAGGGGGUCAUGUCAAUUCUGCACAACUUAGAGGUGGAGAACACUGAGAUCCAUGAGAACAACCAUAAGCUGAAGAAGGAGAUGACCUUCUCUAGAAACCUGCUCAGUCAGCUCCUGAUGGAGAACACAUGUAGGAAGAAGUUGCUCCCACUGAAGCAGGAGAGCAAGGAGGUACAUCUUGAUUGUGCACUGCACCAGAAAUAUUUGGUUGACUUCAACAAGAAAGAUAAAGACCAGCAACAUCCAGACCCAGCAUCAUCUGGUAGGAA
rnacentral:lncRNA from 1 species